AACGAACGCUGGCGGCAGGCUUAACACAUGCAAGUCGAGCGCCCCGCAAGGGGAGCGGCAGACGGGUGAGUAACGCGUGGGAAUCUACCCAUCUCUACGGAAUAACGCAUGGAAACGUGUGCUAAUACCGUAUACGUCCUUCGGGAGAAAGAUUUAUCGGAGAUGGAUGAGCCCGCGUUGGAUUAGCUAGUUGGUGGGGUAAAGGCCUACCAAGGCUACGAUCUGUAGUUGGUCUGAGAGGACGACCAGCCACACUGGGACUGAGACACGGCCCAGACUCCUACGGGAGGCAGCAGUGGGGAAUUUUGGACAAUGGGCGCAAGCCUGAUCCAGCAAUGCCGCGUGAGUGAAGAAGGCCUCCGGGUUGUAAACCUCUUUUAGCAGGGAAGAAGCGAAAGUGACGGUACCUGCAGAAAAAGCACCGGCUAACUACGUGCCAGCAGCCGCAGUAAUAC
rnacentral:rRNA from 1 species